AGUGAACGCUGGCGGUGGGCCAAACACAUGCAAGUCGAACGAAGUCUUCGGACUUAGUGGCGGACGGGUGAGUAACACGUGGGAACGUACCUUUUGGUUCGGAACAACUCAGGGAAGCUUGAGCUAAUACCGGAUGAGCCCUUAGGGGGAAAGAUUUAUCGCCGAAAGAGCGGCCCGCGUUAGAUUAGCUAGUUGGUGAGGUAAAGGCUCACCAAGGCUACGAUCUAUAGCUGGUCUGAGAGGAUGAUCAGCCACACUGGGACUGAGACACGGCCCAGACUCCUACGGGAGGCAGCAGUGGGGAAUCUUGCGCAAUGGGCGAAAGCCUGACGCAGCCAUGCCGCGUGAAUGAUGAAGGUCUUAGGAUUGUAAAAUUCUUUUACCAGGGACGAUAAUGACGGUACCUGGAGAAAAAGCCCCGGCUAACUUCGUGCCAGCCGCCGCCGUAA
rnacentral:rRNA from 1 species